UUUAAAACUUUCUGAAAGAAAGUUGAUAAUUGAAUACUAUCUGUUUUGGAGGCUAUGUAUUGCUGAUUUUGUUCAGGCCAUGACUGUCCAAUAGGUUUGGGGCACCUAUGGAUCUAAAGAAAGAGUGGGAAAGAUUAAUAUUUGAACAAAAGAAGCUAUUCGUUGGGGUACUGAUUAUCUUCUCAAAGCUACUGCUCAUCCAAACACCAUAUAUGUGCAGUUGGGAGUUUUGUCUAUGGCGGCACAAAAACAAAGAGCAAAUCUGGGACUGGACUUGAGUCAGCAAUGGAAUCUGAACAUCUAACAGGUUGGGGGAGUUGAGACUGUUACUCUUGGAGAUGAUGAAGCCCGUGUUAGAGGUUGUCAGAAAAGCAUUCUUGAGAGAAAAGCUCCUCCAACCUUCCAUUUUCUGGUUGAAAUGAGGGAAAGGAAAUAUUGGGUCACGCAUCGGACUGAAAGGAGUGUUGAUAUGUUGCUCCAUGGUAAAAAGCCCUUGGUUGAGGUAAUGAUAUCAAAACCUCUGUACCCAGCACUAUAAGCAUUUACUUUAAACAUAUGGCUAGAAUAGGCUUUUGACAAAUUGUUUGAAAACUAGGAAUGCAGAUUCACCUUGGUUGACCGAUGAGUCAAAACUUGAUCAUGGGUAUAAGUGAAGGUACAGUUACUAAUUGUUGUAUAUUGGUUUCCAUUAAUAAGGAGAUUGAUAAAUCAUAAACAUGCCUUAAACACGGAAGGUUGUCCCUGAACAAA